ensembl:lncRNA
UGUUCUAAUCAUCACUGUAAUUGCAUUCAGGAAAAAGAGCAUGGAAAUUUUGCAGAAAAAAAAUCUUUUGAGUAAUUUACCUAUCCUGACUUCAAGGGUAAUAGAUUUUAAUUUUAAGAGAUUGAUCAUCAUUAGCAAGUAAAAGGAAGCUACAUUUUGAAGAAGAAAUUCAGUGUAAAGUCUGUUUUGCUCUGGGUUCCUAACCUGGAAUGUUUUUCUGUGUAUAACCUCAGGGUCCCUUGAGAAUAUGAAAGGAAGCAAACAAAACAAACAAACAAACAAAAAAGCAAAGCUAAGAAUUAUAAUGACCCACAAGUAUAGACCUACGUACUGUAAAUGCAAUUAGAUAGCCCUGUACAAAGUUCUUUGAACUCAAAGACACAUUGAAACCCAAAUCUUGAAUGCUGGUUAUCUUUCCCAUUAUUAAUGCAGAGUACAUGCUAAAAUGUUUUGCCCUUCAUAUUCAGAAGAGGUACGUAUUCAUUACCAUUCACUCAUCAUAACUGUCAUACAAAAAUCAGUUGAAUAAUUACAGCGAAGUGCACCCAUGAAAGUGAGUUGAUCAAAUUAAAAUUAAUUAGUUGACAUUGUAUUCUUUGUUUAUCAUGAUCUUUUCCAGUCAUCUUGUGCAGGGUUAUACUCAUAUCUCUGAAACUGUUUUUUGUCUCUGCAAAAUAAAUGAGUGAUGCUACACUAGGUUCCCUCUGAAUCAAGAUGACUGUUUGCAUUAACAUAUUUAGAAGAAAUUAAUUUCCUGUAACGAAGAGCACACAGGAGAGAAAUCCAGUUACCAUCAUUUGUGGUUAUCUUUGACAUCUUAGACAAAAUGAUCUGACCAUUUUCAGCUAAGUCAGCUAAGGACAUACUUCAACAUCAGAUUAGAAUUCAUACAGUGACAUCCAUACUGAGACACAGUAAUAGCUCUACAUUUGAGUGUGAAGUUUUAUUUUUUGAAUGAUGUUGAUAUAUAUUGUGCCCUCUCUCCUGCUUACCAUUCUUACAGUCUGAGCUCUUUUACUGGCACCAAGCAUCUUCAGAAACCAGAUUAAAUAGGAUUUAGCCCAGAAUCACUGGCAUCACUUCUUCAAAUACUUAGGCUUCACAGUCAUAAAAUAGCAACUACUCCUUGGAUUAUGGCAGCACGGUCUUGAUCCCAUGUAAUCUUACCACAUGCAUUGAAGGGUUCUAAUUUUCAGCAACAAUCAGACCCCUGUUUGUAUUUAUGUGGUGUGUUGACAUUUCAAAUGUCCUGCAAAUACUUUUCCAUUGAUUUGGACAGAAUGGGUUACAAUUUAGAAAACUGAGCAUGUGAAAAUCUAUUGGAGAAUGGCAUUAUUGCAACUUUCACAUAGAAUGGGGAUAGACAUCAGUAUUACACAUUGCCUUUCGCAUUUGUGUAAGAUGAAAUACAGACUUUUAAAAAGCAUUCAGUUUUUAUUCAUCCCAUUGAACAUAAUAGUAAAUAUCAGAAGAUUCUGAAAGCAGCAGAAUUAGGUCAGCACUGAGCACCUUUGGAAAUCCUUACUAAAUCAGUAGCUCAGCCUCUACGCUGUUAAAGAACGUCAGCAUCAAAUUUCAAAGUUGAAGAUGUGGCUUUUUUACUCUUUAGGAAAGAGCUACAUACAGAAAUGACUGUUGAAAUGGAAUAAAAAUCAGCUGUACAUUUGUGAUUUUUUUCUGCUGCUAUGUCCCUCUUUUUCAUUUCCUAUCAGUUGAGACACAAUUGUUAAUAGCUGAACAGUCAGUGAGUUCACUUUAUUAAUAGUUUAAACAUAAUGAGAAGCCAAUACAUUUAAUGUUCAACUUCUUUAAACUUAAAGUGAACAUUUUGCUCACUUAAUUAGGUAAACUACAAUGUUUUUCUCUUAGUGGUUCCUCUAUUUAAUGUGAAAGUAAUAAAAGCACCAUAGGGUGCACUGUAUUUUAAAAAAAAUGCAUUACUGUAUAUAUUUUCCUAUGAAUUCUAAUUUGUGUAUAAUUUUUCUCACCUUUUCUAGUAUUAUUCAAGAUUUCUUCACUGUAAAAUAAGUGAUCCCUAAUAAAACCCUUUUAAAAGCUACUGCACUCAGUCUGUAACUAAUUAAUUAUCAACAUAAUCUGCUCUUGUGACAGUUAUUAUUUAUCAAAGCUUUAUAAUGCAAAUCACAGCAUUUACAUUUCUAUUCAAGUGAUGUCUACAUUUAAAAUCUCAUGCAGGAUACUGCCUUACAAUAAAUCCAUGAUUUCCUGUUUUUUGUUUUUUACUUUCUCCUCUACACUUCUCAUUUUCUUUUAAAAAACAACAAAACAUUGAUAAUUUGGCUGAAGCCAUUCUCUUCUUCAUGGCAUUUUCAUCUGCUAGUAAUAGUCUCAUUGCAGACUGACUAGACCAAGCUAUUGAACGUAAAGCUAGACAGCAUUUCACUAUAUAUGAAAUGAAGAAAGAUCAUGCUGGGACAGUCACCUUCAACAUCAUGCAUUCAGUCUAAAUUUACAGUAAUAGACUCAUACUCAGAGAAUGCUUGCUGUGUUUGUUUGCAAACUAGUAUGCAGUACUUACAAGUCUGUGGUUUUAUUGACAUAUUCCUUUCCUUUCCUGUGGUUUUUAAUUGAAACCCCCACUGCUCAGCCUAGCUCCUGGAAGUCAGAGAACAGAAGUUCUGCGUUUAGUUUAGCAUUUAGACAAGAUGAACACAUACAGGAGAGUUCUGCUGCCUGAUUAUGAAAUACAUAGUUCAGAGUUGUUGGGAGGUUUGUUUUGAUUAAG